rnacentral:rRNA from 1 species
CACUCAUUUAAAGAGUGCGUAAUAGCUCACUAGUCGAGUGAUUGUGCGCCGAAAAUGUAACGGGGCUAAAAUUCAUACCGAAGCUUAGGCUUUGCACACUUUGUGUGCGAGGGGUAGAUGAGCGUUGUGUAAGUCUGCGAAGCUACACCGAAAGGAGUAGUGGAGAUAUCACAAGUGAGAAUGCCGGAAUGAGUAGCGAGAAUUAUGUGAGAAUCAUAAUGGUCGAAAAUCUAAGGUUUCUUGAGGAAGGUUCGUCCGCUCAAGGUAAGCCGGGAGCUAAGGCGAGGCCGAGAGGCGUAGUCGAUGCACAUACGGUAAAGAUUCCGUAGCCACCGAAGUCGUUAAAUACAGGGACACAGGAACAUAGCCUAACCCCACCGUUGGUUGAGUGGGGCGUAAGGGAGCGAAAAAUAGUAGCGAAGUAGGUGAUUGUACACUGGCGAGAAAAGCUGUAUGUAUUGAUAAGGUGCCCGUACCGCAAACCGACACAGGUAGAUGAGGAGAGAAUCCUAAGACCAGCGGGAGAAGUGUUGUUAAGGAACUCGGCAAAAUGACCCCGUAACUUCGGGAUAAGGGGAGCCUACGCGAGUAGGCCGCAGAGAAUAGUCUCAAGCGACUGUUUAGCAAAAACACAGGUCUAUGCUAAAUCGAAAGAUGAUGUAUAUGGGCUGACGCCUGCCCGGUGCUGGAAGGUUAAGGGGAAGUGUUAGAGCAAUCGAAGCACUGAACUUAAGCCCCAGUAAACGGCGGCCGUAACUAUAACGGUCCUAAGGUAGCGAAAUUCCUUGUCAGGUAAGUUCUGACCCGCACGAAUGGCGUAACGACUUGAGAGCUGUCUCAACAACAUACCCGGCGAAAUUGAAGUACUGGUAAAGAUGCCAGUUACCCGUGAUAAGACGGAAAGACCCCAUGGAGCUUUACUGUAACUUGAUAUUGAAUUUUUGUAUUACAUGUACAGGAUAGGUGGGAGACAGAGAACUAAUGCCGCCAGGUGUUAGGGAGUCGAUGUUGGGAUACCACUCUUGUAAUAUGAAGGUUCUAACCUGCACCCGUGAAUCCGGGUGGGGGACACUGUCAGGUGGACAGUUUGACUGGGGCGGUCGCCUCCUAAAAGGUAACGGAGG